CUCCUUCCUAAGCCUGUGCAACUGGCUCUCUCAGUCACCUGCCCGUGGGGGAGAGGGGACCAGACCUGUUAGUUCUGGAGACUGCAACGCCCUCGGAUGUGACCCACAGCCUUGUCAGGCCCCAGCCUGCCAAUCUCACGUCUUCCUUUGCUGCUGCUGCUGCUGCUUUGCGUUUGGAAGGGAGAUAACUUCUGAGUGAGUGUGUGGGACUUUCAGGGAUUUUCCUCCCGGCAGAGAGUAAGUUAAGUAGUAUAACUACAGAGGUUGGGUCUCAUCCAGUUGUCACCUUCCUGGUGGACAUGGCGACAUGGCUCUGGAGGUGUGUGGCAAAGUUUGGGUCACGUAGCAGGUGACCUUCAGAGCAGAGCCCAGAUGCUCCUCUGUAGAACCCUGGUGUUCCUCCAUAGGAUCCAGUUGUUCCCCCCAGUAGUCCACAAGCUUUCCUUCCUGAAACAGCCUGGUCCCAACUCAGCUGGCACAUCUGGCUGGCCAGCACUCUGUGUCCUGCCCAUACCUCUCAUCCGUUAACCUGUAGCCUCCACUGACACAUUGCAUAUCCUGGCUUCUAACCCAGCUCUGCUUCAGCUUGUCUUCCCAGACUGGCCAAAGACCCCUGUUGCCUUAGUUACCUCGCUGUGGAUGCUGGUGACAAGAAGGUGACGUCAGAAUGAGGAGGGGCGAUGGGAGAAGAUGGCAGGAGAAGCUCUCUCUAUGUAGCCUUGGCUGGCCUGGAACUUGAUAUGUGGUGUGUGCAUGGGCAAGCUGUGUUGUAAGUGGUGUAAAUUCAAGCCUUUAUUUGUAUGGCGUUCUCACGCCACCACCCCUUCCCAGGUGUUCAACACAUUUCCUGAAACAGCUGUGCUACUGAUGGACCGGUCUGCCUCCAUCUUAGGCUUGAAAGUCAUCUUAUAGUAAAGACAGACGAGGUUCAUUCCUGUUUAUGAUUAAACAUGUUUCUCAAGGAUUGGGCUAUGCCCACCUGUAACCUUAAUUACAGAUGGUUCUGUACUGCCUGUUCCAAGAAAUGGCAACCAUGUCUUUGUUUUAGAGAGCUGUUAUAACCAUCUUGCCACCCUACCUUUGUUUUCGGAGGAUGUUGUUAAUGACCACCUUGCUAUGUUCUGCUUCUGUAACCCUUCCUAUUUUGCCUACCAAAUCCCCCAUAUGGAAACCCCCUACCUCUGAGUUAUAAAACCCUUGUCUUCCUCACAUCCAAUGCUGACCUCGUGAACCCUGCCUUGGGGGAGGCAGCCAGUGCACACAAAUAAGAAAGCUGGUUUUAAUUAAUUGCCUGCUUUGAUUAAUCCAGGCAUGGAUGGCAGCCUUUCUCCUCGAAUCUUUUGGAUUAACACUGUCCCUUGCCUCUGAAUCACUGGACCCAGUAAGAGGCGUCUCCUGAAUGAUCCUUUCUUGCCUGCUUCAUCACAGGUGGGGAUGGCUGACCCUGGUAACUUGCAGAGGAGACAACAGUGGCAGAGAUAGUAGCGGGAAACUAUAGUCAAGGCAUAAAGGUUCUGGAGAAUUCCGGAGACUGACUGGAGGCAGAAACGGGUAGGCUGCUGAGAUAGGAGAAGGCAGGAGGAGGUGGGGAGCUAUGACCCAGGAAUGUGGAGGGUUGUGGAGGCCAAAGGCUGGUGUGGGGAGCCUGAGUGAAUGUGUGUUACUGACAUAGGCACAGCCAUCAAGGACCUUAGACCAGAUAGAAAACGACAGUCUCCUCAGGGGUCCCUGUGUAGAUGUUGAUAGUGUGAGCAAAAGUGUCCCCCAUAGUUUUCUCCUCCCAGAUUAUUUAUGGUCUGAAGAUGGCUCCCCUACAGGGACUUCUCUUACUGAGCUUAGCUAAAUCUGUCUUCUUGAUCCAGCUGUACGUCCAAACCCCUGCCACCUUGCUUAUCUGUAUUUAAUAAUCCACCUCCUUGUUCAGCCGUAUGCAAUUACACUGUCUGUCUCUACCACCGUGUAUCAUCAACAUGCUGAGCGUCCCAGAUCC